GGUCUUAUAGUCAAUAUUGAUAUUAAACUGCAAGUUUAAGGGUAAAGAUAAUUCUUUUAAGACUU
rnacentral:tRNA from 2 species